rnacentral:rRNA from 1 species
GAUGAACGCUGGCGGCGUGCCUAAUACAUGCAAGUCGAGCGAACGGACGAGAAGCUUGCUUCUCUGAUGUUAGCGGCGGACGGGUGAGUAACACGUGGAUAACCUACCUAUAAGACUGGGAUAACUUCGGGAAACCGGAGCUAAUACCGGAUGAUAUUUUGAACCGCAUGGUUCAAAAGUGAAAGACGGUCUUGCUGUCACUUAUAGAUGGAUCCGCGCUGCAUUAGCUAGUUGGUAAGGUAACGGCUUACCAAGGCAACGAAGCAUAGCCGACCUGAGAGGGUCGUCGGCCACACGGGAACUGAGGCAGAGUCCAGACACCUACGGGAGGCAGCAGUAGGGAAUCUUACGCGAUGGGGGAAAGCCUGACGGAGCAACACCGCGGGAGGGAUGAAGGUCUUCGGAUCGGAGAACUCUGUUAUUAGGGAAGAACAUAUGUGUAAGUAACUGUGAACAUCUUGACGGUACCUAAUGAGAAAGCCACGGCUAACUACGUG